UUAGAGGCAAACGGGUGGACCCGCAAUACGUCGACCCGGGGGAUUCAACCAGGCCGUGCGUUCGGGACGCGUGGGGGUUAUGCGGAGCUGUAAAGCCCGUGCCUUUGCGUGGGUCUCCGGGCGGACUGGUGCACUUUCCUCGGGUUGAUUGCCACGACCGGCUCUCCGCGCGGCCAUAAGCCUGUUGCUGGUAAGGUGACCGUCGGCCCCAGCGCCGGCGGUGUUAUAGACCAGCUUGUUCGUUGCGCUCGUCGGAGGGCCGAGGAAGUUGCCGUUUCUCAGCACCCUCUGGCCAUCCUUGCUCGUCACGACUGGGGUGAACUGCUUCGCCAGUGCUCUCCCGACCGCGAGCGUAGGAAGGGCUGGUACGGUGCGAGGAUGCUUCGGGCCAGUGGCGAAUCGGUCGGUCCUCCACCCGACCCGUCUUGAA
rnacentral:rRNA from 1 species